AAGUCGCAGCCGACUUCAUAGCGCCGCACUCAUUCGGACGUUUUGUAUUCCUUCUCUGUGUUGCUCUCCAUUUUGUUCCUGAGGGUGUGGCACCAGGUGUUAUGAUGGCCCGUAGCAGCAGCAGCAGUAUUAGCCGCUGUCGCUGGUGCUACAGCCGGGCGGCACACAGGGCACUUCUGUGCAGCCUUCUCGUUGUGCUAUUGAUUGGGGGCCCGUCCGCGGUCUUCGGAGUCGAGGCCGACGAUGAUACGAUCCGUCUCUUGCUAGCCGCAGGGGAUAAGGCACUGGGCCAGGGGCGCGCACACUAUGGAGAGGCGCUCUCAAAGUAUACCGCCGUCCUCACUCGAUGGCCGAAGAAUGAACGCGCGCUGUACAGUCGCGCAGAGCUAUACUCGAUGAUGAGGGAGCGCGCGGCAGCGCUGGACGACCUGAAUGCGCUUCUGACGAUCAACAAGGAUCAUCCGCAGGGGCUGGCGCUGCGUAUGUCGCUGAACACGCAGUUGGGAAAUCUCGUGGACGCGCAUCGUGAUGGCAAGCACCUGGUUCGCGUCUAUAAAGCGCUCAACAAGCCCGAUAAGUCACAACAGACAUCAGAAAAGGUGCGCCAUCUCGAGCACUACACGGCACGCUGGACAGCUUUGUCGGACUUGUGGUCGCAGCCGGUGGGGGCGUACACCGACGCCGCCAACGACGCCGUACUCAUGCGCAAGUACAGGGAAUGCGUCGACGUGCUCGCGAGAAUCAUUCGCGAGUUUUCGGUGGACAGCGUAGAACUUCGUCUGCGCCGUGCUGCCUGUGCUCUGGCAGCUGACGAUAACAUCGCCGCCACGCAGGAGCUCAAGUACGUCACGCAGCGCAGCCCACAGAACCUCAACGCUAUCGCCCUCAACGCGCAAGCGCUGCGCAGACUCGGCGCGCUGGACCAGUCCAUGUCGGAACUGCGCCGCUGCCUUAACCUCGACCCCGAGUACGCUCCAUGUGCAAAUCUGCACAAGCUGAUCCGUCAGCAGCAGCGCAUGAUAAAGAGCAUAGAGAAGAGGUUACAGGACAAGAAAUUUGAGGCGGUAGUGCGGUUGAUUGCCGAGGCCCGCGCCGCGGAGCCGCACGCGCCGUACGAAGAGCAGCUGGCGGCGUGGCACUGUGAGGCGCUGGUGAGUUUGCGCAACACAGACGAGGGCAUUCGUGUGUGCCAGAUGCUCGUGGACCGCUACGACGGCGCAAACAGCCCUACCGUCUUUGAUGCACACAUCCGCCUGGCAGAGCUGCACCUGCUCGACGACAACAUAGCCGCAGCAGAGGCAGCGCUGCAGAAGGCGCGCGAGAUGCGACAGCACGACGGAAAGGUGGAGGAGAUGCGAAUGAAGAUCGAAAAGCUGAAGCGCACCGGCGCCCGGAAGGACUACUACAAGAUUUUGGGUCUCAAGAAGACAGCGUCAGCGCAGGACAUUCGACGUGCGUACCGCAAGCUCGCCAAGUCAAGUCAUCCAGAUCAGCUGCGCUCGAAGGACAUGACGGACAGGGAGCGCGAGAAGCAGGAGAAGAUGUUCCGUGACGUGAACGAAGCUAAAGAGGUUCUGCUGGACGAGGAAAAGCGUGCCCGGUACGACAAUGGCGAGGAUGUGAGCCAGCCAGCUGGGCAGCGGGGCGAGCCUUUUUUUGGUAGCCACUUUGCCGGCGGCUUCCCUGGCGGCUUCCCCGGAGGCUUCCCUGGAGGCUUCCCUGGAGGUUUCCCCGGUGGCUUCCCCGGCGGCUUCCCUGGCGGCUUCCAUCAGCAGCGCGACGGCGGCGGUCAUCAGCAGUUCUUUUUUUUCAAUCGUGAGAAUUAGCCAUUGCCGGCGUUUGCACAUGUACAUGCUUGGCGAGGCGCUCAUGUCGCUUCGCCCCCCCUUCGCACACACAUCUUGAUACGCUACUGCGUUAUUUUGCUCUUCACGUGUAAUCGAACUACGCGUCGUCUUGGUCUGCGUAUGUGCGUGCGUACCUCAUUUUCUGAUUUCCAUGCUACACGGUCUUACACGCAAAGGCGAACGCAAGAUCACGCCGGGCGCCACUACGUCGCGUCAUUCUCAGUUGUUCCUUGUCUUCACCACCAACGCUUGGUGGGCUCUCGCAGGCGUUCGAGGUGUGCUGAUGAGUGCGACGCGGGAUGUGUCACGAUUCCCUCUGCUGCGGUGGGUGCGUGCCUAAGCGUGUCUGUUGUUCUCGGCUCCUUGGGCUGCCGCCGUUCUUUCUUUCUGCCUCGACGUCCGCUGCCUCGUCCACUGUGGCCAUGUCAAUACAUGCGUCAGCUUGAUAAAGCGGGGAGGAGGUGUGUGUGUGUGGGGGGGCUCAGGUUCCGGGGCAAGGAGAAUAGGGCAAGGCAUGAGGGAGCCGAGCGUGUGAUCACAGUCGACUAAAGUCACACAUGCGAAGGCGGCCAGGCGGGAAAAGGUUAGAUUUGCGUUCAUAGUGAGCGCAUACGUAUGCGCUGGCGUGCACUCGACUUACUCGAAGGCGCUGGCGGUAGCCUCCAUGACUACCACCACCACCGUUACCACCCGUAUAUUUUCUACCACCGUUUGGAGGCUGUUUUCGACCUGUAUGUGUACAGCGAGAACAGAUGUCCACCAACAACCAC
rnacentral:misc_RNA from 1 species